CCUACGGGCGGCAGCAGUGGGGAAUAUUGGGCAAUGGAGGCAACUCUGACCCAGCAACGCCGCGUGAAUGAUGAAGGUCUUCGGAUUGUAAAGUUCUUUUCUAAGGGAAGAAGAAAGUGACGGUACCUUAGGAAUAAGCCUCGGCUAACUAAGUGCCAGCAGCCGCGGUAAUACGUAGGAGGCAAGCGUUAUCCGGAAUGACUGGGGGGAAAGGGUGCGUAGGUGUUUGGACAAGUUGGUAGCGUAACUCCGGGGCUCAACUUCGGAACUACUACCAAAACUGUUGGACUCGAGUGCAGGAAGGGCAACUGGAAUUUCUGGUGUAGCGGUGAAAUGCGUAGAUAUUAGGAAGAACACCGGUGGCGAAGGCGAGUUGCUGGACUGUAACUGACACUGAGGCACGAAAGCGUGGGGAGCAAACAGGAUUAGAUACCCGGGUAGUC
rnacentral:rRNA from 1 species